GUCGUAAACUGAUAUGGAAAUGCUUCGUGAAAAUGCACCACCUGCUCCCCAAACUGGAGGAGUUGCUGAAAGCAGUGGGGGAAGAAGGUUCUGAUCUGAUCGAAUCGUUCAAAGCCAUGAAGGCUUCCUCGGAACUACCUGCUCAUCUGAAAGGACCUCUUGUUUAUCUCACCUGAUAAAAGAUGUUCAGCAGAAGCACAAGGAGACUCUGCGG